rnacentral:misc_RNA from 1 species
CGCCGAAGGUGGGGCUAAUGACUGGGGUGAAGUCGUAACAAGGUAGCCGUACCGGAAGGUGCGGCUGGAUCACCUCCUAACAGGGAGACAACAAAAUGUUUAAUAUUAUUAUUUUGUCACCUUAGGUCGAUCGGUAUCUCACAUUCUUAAUUUAUUAAGGAUUUCAUUUCCUAAGUUUUUCUAGGUCACACCCAUUAUUUUUCCUGGGCCAUUAGCUCAGGUGGUUAGAGCGCACCCCUGAUAAGGGUGAGGUCCCUGGUUCAAGUCCAGGAUGGCCCAUAUCUCUAUGUUGGGGGUAUAGCUCAGUUGGUAGAGCGCCUGCUUUGCAAGCAGGAUGUCAGCGGUUCGAGUCCGCUUACCUCCACUGAUCACCACCUCUUCCAUAACUUUAAGAAGGGAAAAGUUUUGAGUUGUGAUCAAAUUCUGAACGAAUCUAGCUUCCUAAUGAAUUUAUUAAGAUGCUGGACUCAUUGAUUUAAUUUCAUUGUUUUCAGAGAACCUUGACAACUGCAUAGAUUAUUUUUAAAGACAAUAAGCAUCUUUAAUGAUGCAGAUUUAUUAUUUGUGCGAAUGCAUUAAUAACAAUUCUAUUAAGCUGAUGCUUCAAUUUUGAAGUUAUUGGUCAAGCUACAAAGGGCUCACGGAGGAUACCUAGGCACACAGAG